AUGCGGCCGGGCUCGUCCCCGCGCGCCCCAGAGUGUGGAGCGCCCGCGCUCCCCCGACCCCAACUUGACCGUCUCCCGGCUCGCCCAGCCCCCUCCCGGGGUAGGGGCGCCCCCUCCCUCCGGUGGCCGGCGAAGGAAGUCGGUCCACGGCCGCAGAUCCCGGCAACUUGCGAGCCGGGAAAAGUUUGCGGCGCCUCCGCGGGGCGGCGCGACGCGGCCCGUACCUCGCGUCCGCGGUCAUCGCGGGUGACUUUCUCGACUCGUCGUCAGCCGGGGCCGCUGCGCGGCCGGCGGGGACUGCGGGGCGGGCCGGAGUCCGUCCGAGGGCUCCCGCACCUCGGGCUGCGGCAUCAGACAUGUUGGCAUCAUCUCUUAGUUGGGCCCUGUGGCCAGGGAACCUUUCAUGAAACCACCUCUGCAGUCCUGGAGAGUUGCUGUAGAAGAAGGAAAAGAGAAGAAGACAACACAACACAGGAGGGGAUAAGUACCUCUGGACACAAUGGAAGUAGUAGUUGUUGAGCAGAGGGAAAGGGAUAGGAGAAGGAUGUGGACUGCAGUGCGGCAGUGCCAG
rnacentral:lncRNA from 1 species